CGCGCCUUUCUCCUGUCUCAACCAAUAUUAGUAUUUACAUGUGCAACUCUGACCCCAUUCAGAUACAGUUUUCAACCAUUCUGAAACCAGCAGGGUACAAUAGAUUUCCUAGUAGUUUUUCUUAGCUG